rnacentral:lncRNA from 1 species
GUUAAGGAGGAGUAUAAGUUCUAGUCUUAGGUACUGAAGGUACUGGUCAAGACUCUAUGUUUGACCAAGGAGAUUAACCAAAAGUUUUGAUCUCACUGAACCUGACGUUUCAAUCCCAAAUCUAUGAAUAAUUGCAAGCCUUUCGGGCUUGAGUAUUUACAUUUCGCAUAUUUCUCCAUUCUUAGCAGUUAAGUUUGGGCACUAGACCUAUCCAAGGCCAAAUAAUCCUUCCCAAAUCUCUUUGUGGUGGUUCUUCGUGCGAGAGAUAUCAGAAGAGAAAAUUGUAUUGAGAGGUGACGAGGACAUCUCCACCAAGGAUAUAACGAUGGUAAGUCCACAAAUUGAACCAGUGUUAGAAGGACCAAUCUGUAACACCCUGGGUUUUCACCAACCUGGUGUGCUACACAAAACACGCAAAAAGCACUACAUCAGAAACUUCAUGGAGUCACAUAUAUGAGAUCAUCUAAUCACUAUGUAAUCUGUCGUAAUAUAUUGAAACUAAAUUAGAGUUGGAGGUGUGUGUAAGUGUCGAGUAAUAGGGUGCUACUUCCCGUCCAUGUAUGUUAUGAUACUCAUCAGUACCUAAAAACCAAAUAAAAUACAAGGGUGAGUAUAAAAUGCUCAGCAAGUACAAUAUGGAACUAAAAACAUAUAUUAGAUAUUUGGAAAUACAUGGCAAAAAGAAUCAGUUAUCUUCUUUGAAAAGAAACUUGAAAUUUCAUUCAACGAUAGUUCCCAUCCUGGGCAGGGCAGACAUGAAUAAACACCAAAUAUAAUAAAAUAGUAGUUCCUCUCUCAGACAAACAUGGACAACCUUUUAGCAUUACCGGUAAGCCGAGUAAGCGAGACCAACACUUACUAUAAGGAUCAUUAUGAAAAAUCAACUGAAAUACUCCAUGGCUUCGCAUGGCGCUUGAUUGAGUUAAGCGAAAAAUAACUAGAAUCAUGAAACUUGAAAACGAAAUGAGGAACUCAAUUAUCAACUCAAAACAUGAAUAUUUAAUUUGAAUAAUAAUAUGAAAUUAGGUUCAAUAAUUAUGCACAACCAAGUAAAUAUAUGUAUAAGAAAAUAAUGAUAGCAUAGCAUUUCAGUCGUCACAUCUCAAUCAUAUAAGUUCGUCAUGCACUUGUCUCAACCCUUGACGCUAAGUUUAGCUCAACAUCUCCCAAGUUUGAACCCCCCACACCUAUCGAGUGUAACAUCAUAUAAAAUCUAUAUACGUGACUAGCUAAUAGUACAUGGAAUACUGAAUGCGUUUACAAUGAUAAAACAUAAAAACUCUAUUUAUUCCGUCAACCUGUAUUUAACUAUCUGUGGGGAUAUACUGAAAUAAACAGGAAUCUCACAUGCCCGACUGUCCAGGAUGCAGUUGCGCAUAGAAAAGGUAUAACAGCACAAGCUCAGUGAAGAAUACUUACUUAGCAGCGG